GGGGCGGGCUCCGCUCCUCCUCCUCCUCUUCUUCCUCCUCCUUCGGCGCGGGCAGUGCUGCUGCGCGUCCUGCCGGGCGUCCCGCUGGAAACGGGGGUUUUGCUGCACGACGAAGGUGAGACGGUUGAGGGGUGCUGCACCUGCUCCCAGACCGGAGACAGGAAGGAUAACAAACCCAAGUGCCCACACCAUUACCGAGAAUAAAUGAAGAUGUCAGGACUUACUGGGUGCACAGUGCAUGAUAGGAGCGUGGCACAGUGACCUGAAUUCAGCAGAGGACUUUCGCCUCCAGUUCCCAGACAGAUGAAUAAAAGCAGCUCCUCACUUUCCAGUUCUGCUGGACUUGCAGCCGUGGUGUAACACACUUGUAUGAAUUGGGACUGUGGUUGAGAUUUUCCUUGGGAUCUUAAGUAGGAGAGGAAAGAGAUCAGGUGAAACCUCUCGCCAUGCAGGUUGGGUCUCUGCUGUUGCUUGGUAGGCAUCACAAUCAGAAAAUAAAGAUCCAGUCCUUCUAUCUUAUUUGGAAAUCUGAUCCGUGACACUCCAAAAUAACAGGAUUAGCCCUGAUUCACCUUGAAGAGGGUGAAGGAGAAAUGGAAUUUGGCUUGUUUAUGAUUUGCCUACAACCAUUUCCUUGCUUCAUAUACCUCAGUUUAGUAGCAGUGGAAGUGUCUUGCCACAAAGUGGGGCUAAGGAAUUCUGACAUACAGAUUUGUUAAGCAAAUGAGUGGACUAAAAGCUGCCUUCUCCACGAGCAAGCGAAACACUGUGCUCUGAUUCCAGAGACCAGGAUUGAACUCAGCAAAUGGAACGGUGAGAUUCAGCAGCAUGGAAGAAACGCCUCAGUUUUUGAGCACGCUGCUUGGGCUGCAGCACCUCCUUCAGCUGGCGAGCUCAUUCCUUCCACAGUGCUUCUGAACCCUUCAGCCCUGCUGGAUCAUUAUUUGCUUUUCCAUUUUUCACUUCUCCCUCCGGUUUAUGGGGAGCUCACGGAAUAGAGGUUGAUUCUGAAAAGAAGUGUGAAACCACCUAUUUCUUGGGGGAUGUAGAAAAAGCUGUGAAAAUGUCUGUUAUUCACCUGAUUCGAGAUCACUGAGAGCAACUGGAGAAUGGGGAAGGCUGAUGGAAAUGCCUGUUAUUUCAGCAAUGUGGAGGAGGUCACAGAAAUACCUGUUAUUGAGCUGACCCUUAAAGGGUUGGAGGUGUCCCAUCAUGGGAGGACGGGGAGCAUCCUGUAAGGGUUUGGAGACGGUUGAAGUUUUCUGCUGCAUUAGAAGCAGCCUGCAUUGGAGAGGGCCAUCACAGCAUCUGAUGGCAAAUAAAUCCAGACUGUAAUCACUCGUCCAGGUUGUUUAUCAGCUCUGGCAGUUCCUGUCCUCUCAGGAUUAGGGCAGUGCUCGCUCACCCUUUAAGCUACGAUCUGGCAGUGACCUUCUUAGCACCCUGUGGGCCAAGGAAGGAAGGGUUGUAGCAGGUUGCUUAAUUUAGCAGAGGUGCUGUGGGUCAGGAGGGACGUGCAGGUGCCAGUGCUCGGGAUGCACAGGUGAGGAGCAGCUGUUGGUGGGGCACAGAAGUUGUAAAUGAGUCUAAAACAUCCUAUUUGUAGGACCAGCUUACCCUCCAUGCCUAAGAUACUUUUGCCAAAGAAAAGUAUGGACUCUGGGACAGCUGAUGGACCUCAAGAGGCUACCUCAAGCUGUAGUUCUUUCCAGAGCCUCUACAGGUGCUGUGAACCAUGAGAAGAAAACAUCAAUGCCUCAGGAGCAGCAGCAAUGUGCAAAGCAUGGAGAGCUUUGUCCAUCAGCUGCUGGGCAUCACUGCAGCUGGAUGUUACAGACUUUGCCACGCUAACAUCUCACAACAAGCACUGGCAAGUGCUUUGUACCAGCACAGACAGUUUUGCUACUCGUGGGUUGUUUCCUUUCUUUCUAAGCACUUCCUCAGUAAGAUGAGAUUAUGUGAUUUCUGCAGCGUGGGUUCUGAGUUGUGCAUGCACACGUUCUUUUUUGUCUUUAUUUUGCAAGCAAUUGCCUCAUCAGCAGGAUUCCUUUGCAGCACAGGGAUUGCCCUGGUGGAGCUGUGCAGGUGGAAGUGCAGCACUGAGCUGUUCAGAGCAGGAAGCUUGCUUGGCUGCUUGAGCCCUCCUAGCAGCGUUGUGUGUUUGUGACUGCGGACAAACGAUCUGCUCUCUGAAGCCCAAAUGUCUGCAGAAGUGCAGGAAACUGGCUGUCUGCAGUGGUCUGGGUGUGCUUGAAAACCUCGGAGGAAGGGAGAAGAAACCCAAGUGAUUGGAAGCACUCUCAGGCCAUUUCCAGGAGAUAAGACAAAGUGUGGUUUUGCUUGAAAGGGAGGAAGGGCUUCAGACCUGUCCCCAAGUGCUCCCAGCUUGAGACAGCGGUGAUAGUGUCAAGAUCAGUUGAGUGCAAAUCUUUCUUUGCCCCUUGAGAUAAGCUUGUGAUUGUUGUCUGGUGAGAUGGGGCUGUGAGCCACGGUUGGGGUGAUGGCAGCCUGGGCUGAGGAGACACAAUGCAAAUCUCUCAAGGGCUGCCAUUCUCAUGUCUUCAUCUGCAACAGGAGAAUGUGAAGAUCCAGGUAGGAAUGAUUGCCCUCAUAUCUGUGCUGUGUUGUUUGGAAGAUGCUCUUAGGCAGCCAGUGCUGAGUUCAUCCUCUGUGAGAGGAGCUCGGGGCCCUCUCAUGUGGGGAACCAAACAAGUUUUGAGCUAGAAAAGCCAUGUUCUCAGCAGUGAGGCCAUCUUUGGCUGACGUGGAAGGAGAGCUCCUCAGGCUGGUUUUGGUUGAUGACAAGGAGUUAUUUAGUGGCUGCAAGCACCAGGAGUGCUCUCUGCAAAGCUCCUGAUCAGCCCUGUUCACAGCCAGCUCUGAAGUUCUGCAGGACAGAGAAAACCUCUCUGUGUGCUCACACAUUUAUCCUACCUGCACGGACCUAUAUGCUUUCUUCUCUACUGCUGUUCUCUCUUAACCUCUGUCCUUACUCCUCAGCAUCUCUGCUCCUCUUCUGCUCUUCGUAUCCUCUCUUCUCUGCUUGUGCUCUUUUCCUCUUCUCCACUUCUGUCUUAACUGUACCCUCUCAUUUCCUCCUGCAUUUCUCUUCUCCUGCCAUUCUGUCUCAACAGCAUCCUCUCAUUUCCUCUCCUGCUCCCCUUCCCCUUCCCUUCUUUCUUACCUGCAUCCUCUCAUUUCCUUCUGUUCUGCUCUCCUCUUCUGAUCCUGUCUCUUAUCUGUAUCUGCUCUUCUCUUUUUCUGCUCUUAUCCUCUUCUGAGCAGGAACCCAAGCAGUUCUGUUCACAGGUCAGGUUUUCCAUUGGGAGCCCAGCCCUGACACAAUUGCAUUCAGCACAGGCCAUGAGCUCAGCCCAGAAGCUCUGUCCUCAUUCCUGCCCAUGCCAGGCUUCCUUGCUCUGCUGGGGGUGCAGCAGUGGGAGAUGAACAGAAAAAGGAACACGUUUUCAUGUAGCUGACAUCAUCCUGUGCCCUGUACCUGCAACCUUGAUGAACCAAAGAAAGUCAAGCAUAUGUCUGAUUUUAAACCUGUUAAUUCAGUCAAAGCAGGCUCAAAUCCAUGGGUUAGAACAGCCUUCCUGAGUCAGUGAUUAAAUUCUAGCGCUGAGGUGCUUGUCUGUGAUCAACCCAAAUGAGCAAGUAAUUCAUAAUGAGUGCUGGACCUUAGAGUUACGUUCUCUGCAAAUCUUGAUCUUAUCAAAAUAGCGUGUCAGUUCAAAUUAUCUGAUUUGGGGGGUUGUUUUUUAAUUCCUGAUUUGCCGUGUGAAAUUACCUGUUUCUCAGAGCGUCUCAGUGUUUGAAGGUUAAUUCUGACUGAGAUAGUACAUGAGUUAAAAGUGUAAAGUCUUUUCCCAAAUAACUCCUCGUUGCAUCAGAUGGCAGAGAAUCACGAGUCAUUUCUGCAGUGGCCAAAGGUAACUCCAUUCUCAAAGUUCAGGUGCAAAUGCUUGCAGAAUGGAUCUUCAGAAGUCUCUGGCCUUCGAGUGGUCUGUCCAAGGUGCAUCCCCCAGCUGUGGAUAUGCAUUCAUCCUAUGAGUUAAUGAGGAACCCUGAGUGCUUGAUAUGGGGUGGGUUAUAUUCAGACACCCUAACUUCUCAUAGAGAAACAAACCCAUGGGGACGGGUUCUUUCUCUCCAUGUCCAAACCACCAGAUCCUCACCAUCUUGGUUUGUUUCUCCAACUACAAGGCUUUUUGUGCCUCUCCUGUCAAAAGCCAGCUGCUAUCCACUCAAGGAGUAUUGCAUAUUGUGGAGAGAGAGGCCAGAGGACAGGACUGAAUGCCAGGUGAAGGCAGGUUGAGGACCAUACCCAAGGGUCAAGCUCUCCAUCCUAAUUUUCCCAAGUUCCUUGGCCAGUUGGCUGAGCUUCAGCUGUCAAAGGCUUCCAAUUACCUUGGAAUUACCUCCAAUUACUAAUUGAUCUGGGCCUCAAUUUCUCAACAUUAAGACAUUAAAAGGGAAUAGUCAUUAUCCCAUGCACUGCUCAGGCACUGGGGACAGGAGACGAGAGCAUCCCAUGCUGCUCACUCUGUGCCCUCUGCUAACCAGGUGCAGUUUUCUGGCUGCCCCUACGUGCUGCAGAGCUGGAAGGUGAGUCAGCAAGCAGAAGGCAAGGGGAUGUCUUAGAAUGAAAACCUGAAAGUAAAUCUCUUUUUGCACAUCUUUUCUCAGCUUCCCCUUGCAAGGCUGUAGAGGCGUAUGCUUGAUGGGAUGUGAUGGCUCUGCCCUUGUCAGCUGCAUCAAAUAUGACUUGUGAGCGUGGACUUUUUGUAAGGAAAGAAAUGGGAGUUAGCAAGGAGUGCAGAAAAAACAGGACUGCUUCCUUCAUCAACAGAAAUCCAGGUCUGAGAUUGGUUUCAAGCCGGAUUUGAUUUGGAAACUUUAGGGAAUUAACCCAAAAAUUGCUUAUUUUACCAUCCCCCUUCUGUAGCAUUUCAUCUUCACACACGUUUCCCCUGUGAGGCACUGACCUUUUGCAGGCUGUGGUGUGACACGGGGAAGUGGCACUGAUGGGAGGGAGCUGGUGCUGCCUGGAGCUGAGGAUGGACUGCUUUCCCCUGCAUGCUGUGACAUCCAGGGGAUGCUGCGUGCCACACAUCUCCGUGUUUAUGCUGAAUGUGUGGGGUAGGGUGUUUCUCUUCUCUGGAUUAUUAUUUUUUUUUUUAAUUUAUUUUUGAGGAUGGAAGUGGCACUGAAAAACACAGGGACAGUAAGGUGACUUCAGGACAGCAUGUCUAACCUUGGAGGAACCAAUGGUGUCCUUUGGUGGACAAGCUGUGUAGGGACAGGUCUUCCUACUCCCUUCAAAGCAGAGGGACAAACAGGGAUUGCAGCAUAUGAUUUUCUGCUUGCUCAUUCUUUUCUACAUGCUAGGAGAGAGCUGUAUUAUCAAACCCCAGUUUGUUGCUCUGCAUUUCUCCCUAAAACCUUGGGUUUGCUGUAUGGGCAUCAGAGCACGACAAGUCACGGGUCUCACACUGCAUCCCAUUGACCUCCCUUGUGUCAUCCCCUCCAGAGGAGCAGGAAGCCUCACCUGCAGACCGUGACUGAAGGCUGAGCACAUGCCUGUGUUGCAUCAAGCUCUUAGCUGAAUCCUGUUUGGUUUUGGGGUUCACAGGCAACGGGAAAACAAUGUGCAAAGUCUGAGUGGCACAGCACACCAUUGAACAGUGGCUCUGUAGCUGGGAGGGUUGGUAAUUAAACGGAUUGUUGCUUUAAAGGUGUUAAGGGACCAAAGUUUCAAACCUCAGCAUCUCACAGUGCUUGGCUCAGCCCCGCUCUGAUAUUUCCUUGUACCAGGCCUUAAGACCCCAUUGUCGCUCUGCUCUGGUGCAUUAGAAAGGACUGGGCAUUUACCUUUAGCCUCUUCUGCCUGCAUUGCAGCCUCCCUGGGACAUUACCUACUAUUAUCUCUAGGUAAAACACACCAUCGCUUCGCUAUUUAUAAUCCAGUUUAAACAGAAGCCAGAGACAAGCUGGUGAGGGCAGAGAGAGGUCAGGGAGCUUACUUAGCUUUCUGCAGUGUUAUUAAUUAUCCAUGGCUUUCUGUCCUACUUCCCCUCUGAGUGCUCUCCCGUGUGCUGCUGGGUGCCACUGAUGUGCAUGGGUUCCUCUGUGCCACAUGGAUCCAAGCUGUGGUGCUGGGCUCAGCCUGCCCCUCAUCACUGCCUUGUUAUUGCAUUACCCCUCCUGCUGCUGGAACGUAAUAAUAAGGCUUUGAGUGCCUUUAUUAUCUCAUUUUCUCAUAUCUGGCAUGUGUAUCUUUUGCUUACUUCCACCUUCUCUGGGCUCAGGGUCUGACUGUCCAUUUCAAAGCAUGCUGAAUGAUAGGCAGGUGAGAUCCAAGCUUGCCCAAUUUUUCCUUUUCUUAUGGGAUUUGAAGGGCCUGAAAAUAUCCUCAUGAUUAUUUCUCACCCUGUGCAUAACCUUUAUACUCUAAGGCUCUUCUGAAAGAUGCAGCCCUGCUGCUCGUUAGAAAUGUCCCAAAGGCAAAGCACCACGUGCACUGCAGUGGCAAUUAACAGCCCUCUGAUGAAAUACUGAUUUAAGGAGCUUUGUGGUGAUGAGCAGGAAGAGGCUGGAGAGGCUUGAAGGAGCAGAAUGGAGGCUGGUUUAAAGACCAGGGAUGGGAGCGGGAGAGGAGAAUGCUGUCUUUUGGGCGUAUCUCAACCAAAAUACUCCAUCUUGCAAUGCCUCAUUCCACAGCAUCCCAUGUGCAGUGUCCUUUCAGGCAGAGGUGUGCAUGGAGACCAGUUGGAUGCAGGUAAGGAGCAUGCACAGACCAAGGAUUGAGGCUCAGUGUACCAGGAGCCCGGAUCAGCAAUGCCGUCUCCUUGUGCAAGGUGCUUACUUUCUUCCUCAGCGUUUAUUUCUUUCUCUUGAAAUGCAUCUGCCUUGUUUAUCUGACCCUCACAUGCGGUCACAGCCUUUACAGCCUCUGCUUUGGUUCUUAUUACACUUUUCAAAACCUCUUCAUUCCUGAGUUCUCUAAUCUUUCCGCCAGCACCCAUGUUUUAUGCUUUGGUUAUGCCUCCCUUCCUUUUAAUUAAUUUUUCACACUACCUUGCACUCCCUAUUGCCCUCUUUUAUUUAAUUUAUUGCUCACUAGCCAUCAUAACCCCUGGGCAAACCUUUAAUUUAUCUCUUCCCAUGUCCCAUCGCCCCCCUCUGUCCUUUCCCUUUAUUGAUUUCUCCAGUUUGAUUUCACCCUGUGCUUGCCAACGUUGUCUCCUACUCUUCCCUUCCCCUGAAGAUUGCUUGGCUGAAUUUCUCCCCCCAUUAAGUGACCUUGCUUCAUUGCAGUCACUGGCCCAACAAAUCUGAGAAUGCUGCUUGGUGGGACCCCACCGUGCUCACUCUUAUUUUCCUCCCCAUCCUCCCAGCAUCUCAAAAUGAUCGCACCAUAAUUUCCAUCCAGUUUGCCAUAAGGAGGAAACGGACCUUUUUCCAUGAGCCUCUUUCAAAGCGAAGAGGUUCGAUGGCCACAACCCACCAACAUCUCUGCUGAGCAGACCAGUGGUCUUGGGGCAGGGAUGGACCCACUGGGGCAGAUGCCGCCAGGUUUCAUCUCUGACCGAGGGGAGAGGUUUGUGCUCUCAGUGGCUCUUUAUUCCUGCUGUCAUCCUGGAGAUGACAAAGUGUGCCUGUAUCUCUCCUGGGGAAGCUUUGGCUGCCCGCAGCCCACUGUCCCUCUGGCCUGAAGCUGCAUUUAAAUGGAAAUAAAUGACUCUUCUGUCUUCCAGGUGCCCCCUGCCAGGCACAGCCCAAAUCACAGCAGGUGGGUGUCCGUGGGCUCAGACAAAGGGAAAUUUUAGCUUCACUCUCUGGUUACAAAAUACUGAACGCUCUUAUGUAUGAUCCAUAAAUAAAUGGUCCAUUAACUUACAGACCAGCUCCUGCCAUUACCACAAUGGGUUUGGAAAACACAUUACUGGAGAUAGGCAGGUAAUUUUGUCAUCUGCAACUGUGUGAUUUGCAGUCGGAGCCCAACAGCUGGAGAGGGUCAGUGGCAGGAACCAUGUGUAUGUUUUUAAGAUCCAGAACAGGUGUAAGAUACGAGUAUGCUGUGGCUCAAAAAUAUGAUGAUCUACCCACAUUUUUCCAAAGCUGUUUGCUUUGUUUGCUGUUAAGAAAACUUGAAACAGAAAUAACUGCGGGGAUAGAUGAGUCUAAGGGAGUGAAAUAGCUCUGGACAGCAGUGGGCCUAGACACAUCAGCCCCCUGAGAGCGGUGCCCAAGCAAAGGAGGGUCCCCAGAAAGGUCUGUGCCAUAGGAGACUAAUCAACUGCCAUUAGGAGAUAAUCAAGCAUUGUUGGUUGAAUUGUUAGAAUCACAGAGUCAUAGACUGGUUUGGGUUGGAAGGGACCCUUAAGAUCACCUCGUUCCAACC